CACAGCCACGGGAAUACGUAGGUGGCAAGCGUUGUCCGGAAUUACUGGGCGUAAAGCGUGUGUAGGUGGUUGUUUAAGUCUGUCGUGAAAGCCCUGGGCUCAACCUGGGAAUUGCGAUGGAUACUGGGCGACUAGAGUGCGGUAGAGGAUAGUGGAAUUUCCGGUGUAGCAGUGAAAUGCGUAGAGAUUGGAAGGAACAUCUGUGGCGAAGGCGACUAUCUGGGCCAACACUGACACUGAGACACGAAAGCGUGGGGAGCAAACAGGAUUAGAUACCCCCGUAGUCCCUGUCUCUUAUACA
rnacentral:rRNA from 1 species